GACGAACGCUGGCGGCGUGCCUAAUACAUGCAAGUUGAGCGCUGAAGGUUGGUACUUGUACCAACUGGAUGAGCAGCGAACGGGUGAGUAACGCGUGGUGAAUCUGCCUUUGAGCGGGGGACAACAUUUGGAAACGAAUGCUAAUACCGCAUAAAAACUUUAAACACAAGUUUUAAGUUUGAAAGAUGCAAUUGCAUCACUCAAAGAUGAUCCCGCGUUGUAUUAGCUAGUUGGGGAGGUAAAGGCUCACCAAGGGGAUGAUACAUAGCCGACCUGAGAGGGGGAUCGGCCCAAUUGGGAAUGAGACAAGGCCCAAACUCCUACGGGAGGCAGCAGUAGGGAAUCUUCGGCAAUGGAGGAAAGUCUGAACGAGCAACGCCGCGUGAGUGAAGAAGGUUUUCGGAUCGUAAAAAUCUGUUGGUAGAGAAGAAAGUUGGUGAGAGUGGAAAGCUCAUCAAGUGACGGUAACUAACCAGAAAGGGACGGCUAACUACGUG
rnacentral:rRNA from 1 species